AUCGCAGCAAGCUUGAGGUUCUGAUUUAGCCACGCAAUCACCUAGCCUCUACCAGUAUCCACUCAGACAGGAUCUAGAUCGUCUUCUCCUCGCAAAUCUCUGCUCCAAAAAUCAAAACUAAAUCUGAUUAGGAAGAUCUUCAAAAGUCUUCCUGAAGUUGGAGCAGUAGUCUGUCGAAGAAGUCCUGCAGCCUUCCUGUUCAAGGCGUCACCACGCCUUAGACCUUUGCC
rnacentral:lncRNA from 1 species